rnacentral:rRNA from 1 species
UGGAGGCAGCAGUGAGGAAUUUUGGACAAUGGGGGAAACCCUGAUCCAGCCAUGCCGCGUGGGUGAAGAAGGCCUUCGGGUUGUAAAGCCCUUUCGGCGGAGACGAAACGGUUCGUGCUAAUACCACGGACUAAUGACGGUACCCGCAGAAGAAGCACCGGCUAACUACGUGCCAGCAGCCGCGGUAAUACGUAGGGUGCAGGCGUUAAUCGGAAUUACUGGGCGUAAAGCGUGCGCAGGCGGCUCCUUAAGUCAGAUGUGAAAUCCCCGGGCUUAACCUGGGAACUGCGUUUGAAACUGAGGGGCUAGAGUGUGGCAGAGGGGGGUGGAAUUCCAGGUGUAGCAGUGAAAUGCGUAGAUAUCUGGAGGAACACCGAUGGCGAAGGCAGCCCCCUGGGCUAACACUGACGCUCAUGCACGAAAGCGUGGGGAGCAAACAGGAUUAGAUACCCCGGU